rnacentral:rRNA from 1 species
CCUACGGGUGGCAGCAGUGGGGAAUAUUGGGCAAUGGGCGCAAGCCUGACGCAGCAACGCCGCGUGUAGGAAGAAGGCCCUCGGGUUGUAAACUUCUUUUAUCCAGGACGAAACAAGUGACGGUACUUGAUGAAUAAGCCACGGCUAACUACGUGCCAGCCGCCGCGGUAAUACGUAGGUGGCAAGGGUUAUCCGGAGUUACUGGGAGUAAUGGGCGUGUAGGCGGGGCUGCAAGUCAGAUGUGAAAGCCAUGGGCUCAACCCAUGGCCUGCAUUUGAAACUGGAGAUCUUGAGUGUUGGAGAGGCAGGCGGAAUUCCAUGUGUAGCGGUGAAAUGCGUAGAGAUACGGAGGAAUACCAGUGGCGAAGGCGGCCUGCUGGACAAUAACUGACGCUGAGGCGCGAAAGCGUGGGGAGCAAACAGGAUUAGUUACCCCGGUAGUC